rnacentral:misc_RNA from 1 species
UUAAGUUCAGCGGGUAUCCCUACCUGAUCCGAGGUCAAAGUGAUAGAAUGGCUUGCUGGAAGGAGGCAGGCUGGAGCCGCGACGCAAUGUGCUGCGCACGAAGCCAACUUGCCGGCUGCCAAUGAAUUUGAGGCGAGUCCACACACAGAGGUGGGACAAACACCCAACACAAGCAGAGCUUGAAGGUUUAAAUGACGCUC